GCACGCGAGCCUGAGUGAGCAGGGUCUCGUCCCCGCCGGCCCGGCCGUCCCCGGGGGGGCCCUCUGCGUGCCCGCAGGGGUCUAGUGAGUUAGAGUCAGCGACGGUCAGCAUGUUUAUUGAGCCAGGGUGGGAUGGGAUACAGCAACAUGUAUUAAAAGCUGAAAUGAUUCUUGUUUUAUAUGCACAUAUGAUUCACUCGAUGAAUAUUUUUCAGGGCGUUUCAUGCGACACUCCAGGAUGGGGGCUGCAGGGACGCACAGAACUUACGCCCUAGCUCCGUGGAGCCUCUAUGAAUAAGACAAGUCAGCGCUAAAAAUACAGUGGACAACCCGGAGGGACAUAAGCCAGGGAUCUGCAAUCCAGGAGGGUCCAGAGUGGUCCCAGAGGCCCCCCCUGGAGGAGGUGGGCGGGACCCUGGAUGUUUUGCUCCAGCUGUAAGGCCUGGCAAGCAGAGGGCCCUCGGAAAAUGUUUGUUGACUGAAUGCACGACGGAAUGGAGCCCAUGUGAAGGCGCAGACUCAGGGAGAAGGCCGUGUGACAACAGUGGUGGAGACUGAAGAGAUGUACACACAGGCCAAGGAGCGCCGUGAUCCCUGGAAGCACCAGAAAUGACGAGAAAGGCACGUGCAGAACAGGUUCUCCCUUCUUCGUGCACUCGGAGGAAGUACAAGUCCUGCUGCCACCUUGAGUCUGGACCUCUGGCUCCAGAACCACGAGAGAAUAACCUUCUAUUGUCCUCAGCCACCCAGCGUGUGCUCCUUUGCUGCGGCAGCCCUGGGAGACUAACGCGAUUGGAGAGAGGAGGAGGACAGAGCCCUGAGCAGGUGGAAUCACACAGUUUGUCACGUUCGGGUCUCAGAACCGUCUUCAGAGCCACGCGGGGGUCCUGGGACUCCUGGGUGUCAUUCCAGGCCCCAGGCCUAAGAAGCCGCCCUGUGCCUCCCUGGCCUUCAGCUGCUCAGCCGGGAAAGGUGGGGAUCCAAGAAAGGAUUCUUCUGCUUAAAACACCACCAGUUUAUGUCCAUUCCCGUCCUCACUGCCCAACCCCUACUGGGAACAGAACCGGCAGCCGCCUUCCCCUGCGCCCCUCCCAGGUGUCUCCGGAGCCUGGGCUCUUUCCCACAGUGACAGCCAGGCUAGGACCUCACCAUCCCCGCCUGCGUCUCGGAGGCACCAUCUGGAUGCAGCCCGAGGAUCGACUCAGAUCUAUCUUUAGUUUUCUGUCCAUCCCGGAACGCGGUCAGCUCGGCGUUUGGAUCAGUGGCCGCUGAGCUGGAUGCUCCCAGAGCCUGGGACUCAGGCUGCAUCCAGGCCUCUCUUCUGGCAUCCCUCAGAAGCCCGUGUCCCUGCCCCACGCCGUCCUACACCUGCAUUUGCCUCUCUAUGGACUGGCGGUCUCCCCACUAGAGGUCACCUCCAAGAGGCUGCUGGCUGCUUUGUUCACUGCCACGUGCCCAGGGCCCGGCACAUGGAAAGCACAUGAUAAAUGUGUGCUGAGGAGGGCGCCUGGCUGGCUCAGUCGGUUGAGCGUCUGACUCUUGAUUUCAGAUCAGGUCAUGAUCUCAGGGUUCAUGAGUUCGAGCCCCGCGUCAGGCUCUGCCCUGAGCGCCCGGAGCCUGCUCAUUCGUCAUUCGUUCUCUCUCUCUCUCUCUCUCUCUCUCUCUCUCUCUCUCUCUCUCUCAAAGUAAGUAAAUAAACUUAAAAAAAAAAUCCUUUAAUAAACGUAUGCCGACUGAGUGAGCAAACACACGAAUGAAUGAACAGAAGACUGGGAUUGGAGGUGUUGGGGGGGGAACCCCGAAGCCUGUCUAUUCUAAUGGAGACCCAAGCAACUCAGGCUUUCUGCGGAUCCCAGCCAAGGUUGCCCCUCGUCUCCAUGCCAGGCUGCGAGGUAGAAGCGUGCGGGCCACCUGCACCCACCCCACCCCCAACCAGAGGCCUGAGGAACCCUGAAAGAAAACAUCAGCACAGCAAAUCGAAAAGGAUUUGCUCAAGUCUCUCUGCGGGAGACUUGAGGCCCGCAGACUUUGACGCUUUAGCGGAGCCCCAUCUACCCGCCGUUUCAGGUUUGCAAGGCUCCUUUCUCGUCACGUGGUAAAAAGCCACCCCGUGUUCUUCGCGAAGGCAGUGGCGGGGCUGUGAGGAGAGAGCAGAGGGCAGGCCAGGAGGAGCCGGCCCUACGUUUGUGAGCCGUGCCCAGCGCACCCAGCGCAAGCCUGCCGGCAGCCACCUCCCCGAGCCUCGGUUUCCUGGGCUAUGAAAUGGACGUGAUGGUAGCAGCUCCCUCGUGGGGCUCCUGCGGGGCCGGGAGACACAGAAAGUGCUGAGGUCAAACUCAUACCGAGUAGGCGCUCAGUAAACGCAAACUCCUGCAGUUUUCGGUUUUUUACCAGCACCCCUCAGUUUCCAGCCGACACAGCAGCAGUCUGGGCCAGGUGGGGAGGUGGGGACCUUGUCAGCCCUCCCACACGUGCUCCU